CAGCAGUAGCCGCGGUAAUACGGAGGGUGCAAGCGUUAAUCGGAAUUACAGGGCGUAAAGCGUGCGUAGGUGGUGGUUUAAGUCCGUUGUGAAAGCCCUGGGCACAACCUGGGAAUUGCAGUGGAUACUGGGUCACUAGAGUGUGGUAGAGGAUAGUGGAAUUUCCGGUGUAGCAGUGAAAUGCGUAGAGAUCGGAAGGAACAUCUGUGGCGAAGGCGACUAUCUGGGCCAACACUGACACUGAGGCACGAAAGCGUGGGGAGCAAACAGGAUUAGAUACCCGUGUAGUCCCUGUCUCUUAUAC
rnacentral:rRNA from 1 species